rnacentral:rRNA from 1 species
AGCAGCCGCGGUAAUUCCAGCUCCAAUAGCGUAUAUUAAAGUUGUUGCAGUUAAAAAGCUCGUAGUUGAAUUUCGGGAUCAAUUUAUUGGUCGUGCAAUAGUACGUACUGGUAUUAUUGGUUCCUACCUUCUGAUGAACCAUGAUGUCAUUAAUUUGGUGUUAUGGGGAAUCAGGACUGUUACUUUGAAAAAUUAGAGUGUUUAAAGCAGGCUCACGCUUGAAUACAUUAGCAUGGAAUAAUGAAAUAGGACGUUUGAUUCUAUUUUGUUGGUUUCUAGGAUCGACGUAAUGAUUAAUAGGGAUAGUUGGGGGCAUUAGUAUUCAAUUGUCAGAGGUGAAAUUCUUGGAUUUAUUGAAGACUAACUACUGCGAAAGCAUUUGCCAAGGAUGUUUUCAUUAAUCAAGAACGAAAGUUAGGGGAUCGAAGACGAUCAGAUACCGUCGUAGUCUUAACCAUAAACUAU